UACGUAGGGUGCAAGCGUUGUCCGGAAUUAUUGGGCGUAAAGAGCUCGUAGGCGGUCUGUCGCGUCUGCUGUGAAAACUCGGGGCUUAACCCCCGGGCCUGCAGUGGGGUACGGGCAGACUAGAGUGCGGUAGGGGGAGACUGGAAUUCCUGGUGUAGCGGUGAAAUGCGCAGAUAUCAGGAGGAACACCGGUGGCGAAAGGCGGGGUCUCUGGG
rnacentral:rRNA from 1 species